AGUGGUUUUUUUAUUAAAACAAAGUAUAAGUAAAGUAAAUAUUUAUAAUAUAAAGUUUUACAAAGUAAUCAACUAAAAUAAAAAUCAUGAAAUAAAAUUUGUGUAGUGUGAUAUAAGAGGUUAGUAUGUGUCAUAAACUCAAAAUCUCAAGACAAAUAUGUGUAUAGGACAAGGACAGAAGGAAAAUUACUAAAAGAAGAAAAGAAAGAAAACCAGUAUAAGCAACAAAAAUCCACAAAUCAAGGAAGAGAACGUGUAGGUAAAUUAGAAAAUCAACGUGGUGAACCGUUAAAACUUCAAAGGGUGUCCCAUCCUAGAAUUUUCCAUCUGUCCCUCUCUACCUUUGUAACCAAGAAAAGUGGAGUAUAAAGAAGUCAUGUUGUAUCCCUAUCAAGAUCACACCUCAAAAUAUAAAUUCGACAAAGCUUCUGUCGAUUCGCUUAAUAGAACUCCACCGUGAUCGACGUCACAAAGUAACCGAUCAUUCCCUAUCAACCUGUUCAUUUUCCGUUGAAUUAUUAGCAACGCCGGUGACUGUAUAUCAACCCUGUUGGAUGAAACCAAUACCCAUGAUCAACAUCACCUCCCCUCCACCUUUGAACCACCGUAACCGACUUUUCCGGCAACCUCUCGUUAUCCCGAUCUUCUCAAACAGAAGGUAAAUCUUGCAAACAAUCGCUCGUGAACAAAGUGAUUUUGCUUUGAAACAUUAAAGGUUCACAGGUUACUUCGGGCGGGUUAAAGAGAGAAGAAUAAAGCGUAGGACUAAAUCUGAAGAUGUUAGUUAAUCAAGUCGAAUGUGUUCGCUUGGAUAUUAAUUUUAAGUUUAGUUGUCGUGUGGUUGUAUCCUUGUCAAAUAAAUAAAUGGAAUUAUGACUUUUGUUUAU